rnacentral:rRNA from 1 species
AGAGUUUGAUCCUGGCUCAGGACGAACGCUGGCGGCGCGCCUAACACAUGCAAGUCGAACGAGCGAGAGAGAGCUUGCUUUCUCGAGCGAGUGGCGAACGGGUGAGUAACGCGUGAGGAACCUGCCUCAAAGAGGGGGACAACAGUUGGAAACGACUGCUAAUACCGCAUAAGCCCACGGCUCGGCAUCGAGCAGAGGGAAAAGGAGCAAUCCGCUUUGAGAUGGCCUCGCGUCCGAUUAGCUAGUUGGUGAGGUAAUGGCCCACCAAGGCGACGAUCGGUAGCCGGACUGAGAGGUUGAACGGCCACAUUGGGACUGAGACACGGCCCAGACUCCUACGGGAGGCAGCAGUGGGGAAUAUUGCACAAUGGGGGAAACCCUGAUGCAGCGACGCCGCGUGGAGGAAGAAGGUCUUCGGAUUGUAAACUCCUGUUGUUGAGGAAGAUAAUGACGGUACUCAACAAGGAAGUGACGGCUAACUACGUGCCAGCAGCCGCGGUAAAACGUAGGUCACAAGCGUUGUCCGGAAUUACUGGGUGUAAAGGGAGCGCAGGCGGGAAGACAAGUUGGAAGUGAAAUCCAUGGGCUCAACCCAUGAACUGCUUUCAAAACUGUUUUUCUUGAGUAGUGCAGAGGUAGGCGGAAUUCCCGGUGUAGCGGUGGAAUGCGUAGAUAUCGGGAGGAACACCAGUGGCGAAGGCGGCCUACUGGGCACCAACUGACGCUGAGGCUCGAAAGUGUGGGUAGCAAACAGGAUUAGAUACCCUGGUAGUCCACACCGUAAACGAUGAUUACUAGGUGUUGGAGGAUUGACCCCUUCAGUGCCGCAGUUAACACAAUAAGUAAUCCACCUGGGGAGUACGACCGCAAGGUUGAAACUCAAAGGAAUUGACGGGGGCCCGCACAAGCAGUGGAGUAUGUGGUUUAAUUCGACGCAACGCGAAGAACCUUACCAAGUCUUGACAUCCUGCGACGCACAUAGAAAUAUGUGUUUCCUUCGGGACGCAGAGACAGGUGGUGCAUGGUUGUCGUCAGCUCGUGUCGUGAGAUGUUGGGUUAAGUC